GUAAAGCUUAAAUCUGAAACAAUAUCUGUUUGACUUCAAAACCAACCACCAUCCCCCCAUGCCACCAGGGGUUGGGGUGGGCAGGCAAGGGUUAAGGCUGAAGGGAAGGUGGGCCCUCCAGGCCCUGCUGGCUCCCGGAGCGCUGAGUGUGAUGCCGGGGUCCGGGCUCUGUCGGUUGCCGGGGUGCUGAUUAAGAUGUCACAGAAGAUUACGCUGUCAGGUGCAAGAAUCACACUCCAGGAGGGGUGGCUGCUGGGCCGGGAGGGAGGUUACCCUAGCAACGGAGACGGACUGUCCAUGCAGUGCAGUGUCCCAGCCUGGUGGAUCCAGAGCCUUGAUCUCCAUGGCUUCCUGACAUCUUUUCAUCCAGGUCAUGUCAACAUAUUUGCUAAAACUAACCGUGGGAGAUGUGUGCAGCAAUCCUAUUCCAGCACUGGAAAUCUGCAUUUUAAAUAAGACCCCUGGGUUCCUUCAAGAAUGAGAAGUAGAUCUAACAUUUGAUUCAGCAAUCUCACUCCUAAGUAUCUACUCGGAAGAAAAGAAGUCAUUAUAUGAAAAAGACACUUGUACAGGCAUGUUUGUAGCAGCACAAUUGCAAAAAUAUGGAACCAGCCCAAGUGCCCAUCAAUCAAUGAGUGGAUAAAGAAAAUGUGGUAUACAGGUAUGUAUACAGGUGGUGUUUGGUUACAUGGAUAAGUUCAUUAGCAGUGAUUUCUGAGAUUUUGGUGCACCCAUCAUCCAAGCAGUAUACACUGUACCUAAUGUGUAGUAUUUUAUCCCUCAGUUCCCUCCCACCCUUGCCCCAGAGUCUCGAAGAUCUAUUGUAUCAUUCUCAUGCCUUUGCAUCCUCAUAGCUUAGCUCCCAUUUACGAGAGAGAACAUACGAUGUUUGGUUUUCUAUUCCUGAGUUACUUCACUUAAAAUAAUGGUCUCCAAUUCCAUCCAGGUUGCCGCAAAUGCCGUUAUUUCAAAACCCCAAAUCCAGAAAUAACUGCUAAAGAACUUAUCCAUGUAAUCAAACACCACCUGUUCCCCA
rnacentral:lncRNA from 1 species